CGGCGACGUAGGGAAGGCGACGUCGGGGCCUGGCCUGGCCUGGCGAGGCGCGGUAGCCGCUGGGGCUGCAGGUCGGGAGGACCCCGGAGCCCGGGCCCCGCGGCCUCCGAGCACACGCGGGCGGCGGCUGCGCCCCGACGCGCAGCCCCCGUGCCUCCCCGGGCCCCGCACCCCGGCCGGGCCACGCGGGCGGAGGGGGCGCGGGGUCUCCGCUCUAGCCGUGCGGCCGCCCCCCUUUGUUUUGCCGCCUGCGCGGCUGGGACCUGCGCUCGAGGACCAGGGCCGUGGGGCCCGAAACGCAGCGUGGGGGUCUCACUCUGUGGCCCACGCUGGAGCACAACAUUGAGAUCUCAGCUCACUGCAGCCUCGACGUCCUGCGCUCAAGCGAUGGGACUAUAGGCGCGGCCCCCACGCCUGGCUAAUUUUUGUAUUUUGUGGGGUAGAGAUGGGGUCUCCGUGCCGCCCUGGCUCGUCGGUCUGGAACUCCUGAGCUCGCGUGAUCCUCCCGCCUCGGCCUCCCAAAGCCUGGGAUUACAGGCUUGAGCCACCGCAGGCCCUAAUCAUAGUAUUGACUUCCGGGCUUUGAAUAGAUGCUCCACAAACAAGGAACCUGAUAAAUGCAGUCUCCAUCCAAAAAGAAAACAUACAUAAAUGCUGUAUUAAAUUGGAAAUGCUGCAUUAGCAAAUGCACUCCGCGGAGGAGACAACUGUAAUUCUAACCAGGCAGUGGGAAGUUGAGUCUUCUGCUUACCGUUUUUCACACCGGAUGAUUGGAAGAACCUUGGGGACACACUGAUGGCUCCGUCCAUACAAACCUUGCUUCUCUGUUUCCCGCCGACUUCCAGCACCAAGCUCCGUUCGGCUAAGGACUCAACAGCCUCAGCCGGCCAGCAAGGAUGUGCUUCCACUGAAUGAAAAUAAUCUCUUGUGGCCGGGCGCAGUGGCUCACUUCUGUAAUCCCAGCACUUUGGAAGGCCGAGGCGGAUGGAUCACGAGGUUGAGAGAUCGAGAUCAUCCUGGCCAACACGGUGAAACCCUGUCUCUAUUAAAAAUACAAAAAUCAGCUGGGCAUGGUGGUGCGUGCCUGUAGUCCCAGCUACUCAGGAGGCUGAGGCAGGAGAAUUGCUUGAACCGGGAGGCGGAGGUUGCAGUGAGUCGACGACACCGCACCAUUGCACUCCAGCCUAGGGACAGAGCAAGACUCUGCUGUCUCAGAAAAACAAAAAAAAGAAAGAAAGAAAAAGAAAAUAUCCCAUAAACUCUGACUGGAUGUAUCUCCACUCAAGUCCCCCUUUGUUGUGUGCCAAAAAUGCUUAUCGUCACUCCAGUGCCACCAGCCCCCAGGAAGAUUGUGAUGAAGGUGGAGUUGGCCUGGAAAGAGGCAGCCUUGUUAACACUGCAGUUCAGGCCUCCUAACAUGACAAACUUAACCAACACCUGAUCUCAUGAACGCAUUGGGAGGCCCUUUUCAGAGCCUGGGAGACCCAUGCAAGUGGGGCUCAGCUAGCUCCGUAGUGAGCCUGGGCUGAGAGAGAGGGGACAGCUACAUCUAGCUGUCCUCUGCAGGUGUCCACCAAGACAGCCGUUGUCCCAUCUGGCCCUCCAUCGGGAGUCCAGGCCUGAUGCCACAAGUCACUUGUGCCCUGUCCUUGGCACUCCCUGCACCAAGGCAUGAUGGAUACAGGUGUCUGUGUGAGGCUGUCCUCACUGCCCACUCCGUCCCACUCCAUCCCACUCCGUCCGUCCCACUCCGGGGUCGUUUGUUUGCACUCCCUCCUAUUCCUGGAUUCUUCCGACUUCGGGCCCAGAGGAAAGCAGCUGAUACAAAGAAGCAGCUUUGGGGGGUCUGGUGAGCCUCUCGUAUCUCACUGGAGAUGUUGCACCAGUCUGUCUACCAGUUAUCCAUUUAGCUUCAUGCAUGGAGAAAAGACAAUUCCAAAGACUUCUGGAGAAAAAAAGUCUCUUCAUUUCCAUCUGCAGAUCUUAGUGUCUCUCUGGCAUAAUUUCCCUCCAGCCUUUCUUCGGUCCUUUUAGUACCAUCUGCUGUAGUUUCAUCUUUCAUUUAACUGAAAAUGUCUCUAUUUUGCCCUUGUGUUUGAAGGAUACACUAUUGUAUAAACGUCAUCCCAUUGUCUUCCAACUUCCAUCCUUGCCAGUGAGAAUCAGUGAUCAGUCAUUUGUGUCCUGGUUCCCCAGCAGGUUAUGUGACAAUGUGGCAUGUCCUCUGGCUCUUUCAAGACUAUCCCUGUCUUCAGUUUUCUUUUUCUUUUCUUUUUCUUUUUUUUUUCUUUUUUUUUUUUUUUUGAGACAGGGCCUCACUCUGUUGCCCAGGCUGGAGUGCAGUGGCACAAUCAUGGCUCACUGCAGCCUCAACCUCCUGGGCUCAAGUGAUCCUCCCACCUCAGCCUCCCAAAAUACUGGAAUUACAGGCAUGUUCCAACACCCCCAGCCUGAUCUUCAGUUUUCUUAGCAUGUGCCUAAGCAUAUUUUCCUUUGUAUUUACCUUGCUUGGGUUCACUGAGCUGCUUUUUUAUUUUAUUUUUUUUUGAGAUGGAAUCUUGCUGUGUCACCCAGGCUGGAGUGCAGUGGCACGAUCUUGGCUUGCUACAACCUCCACCUCCUGGGUUCAUGCCCAGCUAAUUUUCUUUUCUUUUUUUUUUUUGAGAUGGAGUUUCGCUCUUGUCAUCCAGACUGGAGUGCAGUGACAUGAUCUAGGCUCACUGCAACCUCUGCCUCCCAGGUUCAAGUGAUUUUCCUGCCUCAGCCUCCUGAAUAGCUGGGAUUACAGGCACCUGCCACCACGCCUGACUAAUUUUUUGUGUUUUUAGUAGAGACGGGUUUCAUCAUGUUGGCCAGGCUGGUCUCAAACUUUUGACCUCAGGUGAUCCGCCCGCCUCGGCCUCCCAAAGUGUUGGGACUACAGGCGUGAGCCACCACAUCUGGCCCACUGAGCUUCUUAGGACUAUAUAGUACCACACAUUCACCAUGUCGGAAACAUUUUCCUACUAUUUAUUUAUUUAGAGACAAGGUCUCACUGUGGCAUCCAGGCUGGAAUGCAGUGGCGUGAUCACAGCUCACAGCAGGCCCAACCUCCCAGGCUUAAGCGAUCCUCCCACCUCAGCCUCCCACAAUGCAGCACUUUGGGAGGCCGAGGUGGGAAAUCGCUUAAGGCCAGGAGUUCGAGACCAGCCUGGGCAACAUGGUAAAACCCUGUCUCUACAAAAACAUACAAACAAUUAGCUGGGUGUGGUGAUGUGUGCCUGUGGUCCCAGCUACUCAGGAAGCUGCAGUAGGAGGAUCACUUGAACCUGGAAGGUCAAGCCUAUGGUGAACCAUGAUCAUGCCAUCGCACUCCAGCCUGGACAACAGUAAGACCCUGUCUCAGUAAAUAAAUAAAUAAUAAAAGUCUCACAGGACAGCUUGGAUUUUUAAAAAAUCAGUGGUCACCCCCUGUCCCUCUGCCCACCAUGUUCCCAAUCCCCAGAGGUUACUGCUUCCAAGUUUCACAGCUGCUUUGUACUUUUGGGUGUUCACUUCCACAUGUUUAAGUGACAUGCUUACUCCGCUCUCACUAUGUCUUCUUUUUUCUGUUUUUGAGACGGGGUCUCACACUGUCGCCUGGGAUGGAAUGCGGUGGCGCGAUCUUGUCUCACUGCAACCUCCGCCUCCCAGGUUCAAGCAAUUCUCCUGCCUCAGCCUCCCAAGUAGCCAGGACUACAGGCACAUGCCACCAAGCCCAGCUAAUUUUUGUAUUGUUAGUAGAGACGGGGUUUCACCAUAUUGCCCAGGAUGGUCUUGAACUCUUGACCUCAUGAUCUGCCUGAUUAGGCCUCCCAAAGUUCUGGGAUUACAGGUGUGCCCAGCCAAUAUCUCAGUUUUCAUAAGUAAUCUAGGUAAUCUGUUAAAAAUAAGUAUAUUAGUACACACAAUGCCAAUGUGCCCUAAAUACGUAAAUAAAUAAAUAAAUACAUUACGUAAAUGUAAAUCUGAUAAAUUCGUUAUUUUUUUGCGACAGAGUCUCACUCCAUCUGUUGCCCAAGCUUGAGUGCAUUGGCACAAUGUCAGCUCACUACAACCUCCACCUCCUGGGUUCAAGCGAUUCUCCUGCCUCAGCCUCCCGAGUAGCUGGGACUACAGGUGCACGCCACCACACCUGGCUAAAUUUUGUAUUUUUAGUAGAGAUGGUGUUUCACCAUGUCGGCCAGGCUGGUCUCGAACUCCUGACCUCAGGUAAUCCACCACCUCAGCCUCCCAAAGUGCUGUGAUUACAGGUGUGAGCCACCAAGCCCAGCCAAUUAAUUCUUAUAAAUGAACUUUUCAUGUACUUUAAAUUUUAAAGUUGUGUUAUGUUAAAUAACAGAUGUUCUUUAAGUGUGUGGAUCAUUUCCAUAUAACAUGUGCUUCUGAUGAGGAAAAAUAUAAAAAAGGCAUAAAAUGUGAUCUUUAUUUUUUUAAAGAAUAAUUUUGUCUAAUUUGGAG
rnacentral:lncRNA from 10 species